rnacentral:rRNA from 1 species
CUGCGGAGGGAUCAUUACACAACAAAAUAUGAAGGCCUGGCUUUGCGGCCGGCUGAAAUAYUUUUUUCACCCAUGUCUUUUGCGCACUUGUUGUUUCCUGGGCGGGUUCGCCCGCCACCAGGACCAAACCAUAAACCUUUUUUUUAUGCAGUUGCAAUCAGCGUCAGUAUAAACAAUGUAAUUAUUACAACUUUCAACAACGGAUCUCUUGGUUCUGGCAUCGAUGAAGAACGCAGCGAAAUGCGAUACGUAGUGUGAAUUGCAGAAUUCAGUGAAUCAUCGAAUCUUUGAACGCACAUUGCGCCCUUUGGUAUUCCAAAGGGCAUGCCUGUUCGAGCGUCAUUUGUACCCUCAAGCUUUGCUUGGUGUUGGGCGUUUUUGUCUCCCUCUUUGCUGGGAGACUCGCCUUAAAACGAUUGGCAGCCGGCCUACUGGUUUCGGAGCGCAGCACAUAUUUUGCACUCUGUAUCAGGAGAAAAGGACGGUAAUCCAUCAAGACUCUUACGAUUUUUAACUUU